rnacentral:rRNA from 1 species
ACGGAGGAUCCAAGCGUUAUCCGGAUUUAUUGGGUUUAAAGGGUGCGCAGGCGGAUCAAUAAGUCAGGGGUGAAAAAUUUCAGCUUAACUGGAAUCGUGCCUUUGAUACUGUUGGACUAGAGUAUAAUUGACGUGGAUGGAAUGUGAUGUGUAGCGGUGAAAUGCUUAGAUAUGUGACGGAACACCGAUUGCGAAGGCAGUUCACGAGAUUAUUAUUGACGCUCAUGCGCGAAAGCGUGGGGAGCAAACAG